CCUCCCUCCCCCCGGGGGACAGCCCCUCUCCCCACCCCCGCCGCUGUCCUGCCCUGACGCCGGCUCCGGCUGCGGGGAGGGGGGAGGCGCAAAGGCGCUGCGGUCGCCGCAGCCGCGGGACAGCCUCGCGGUCUCCGCAGUGAUGUCAACCGCAUCCUCCAUAGGGGCCCCCGCCCCGCAGCCACCCCGCCCCGGGCCUCGCCCGCGCCGCCGCCGGCGGAAACCCUCGGCCCCGCGACCCCUGCCUGGGGUUAGAAGCAGAGGGCGUGCGGUGCCCCGGGCCCCCUACUCCGUUUGCCGAAGCUAGAGAGACAGGGGGUGGACCAACCGCGGGGCGGCGGCCGGCGGGGCGGAGGAAGGGGAGCCGAGCUGGGGACGAGUGUAGGAUUGCUGCCGGUCCCGCAACCCGUGCGGCCGGGGUUACGCGAAGGAGGCGGAGGGCACGGCCCACUGCAGGUGCCCCGCGUGUGGGCACGACGAAAGCGCCCCCUCCUCCCAGCAUAGAAACGGAUAAACGGAAGCGCGUGUGAACGUGGGGGUGCGACUCGCCACCUCCCGACUUGGCUUUCCCGCUCUUCCGAGCGCUCCCACUUCUCACUUUCCCCAAAUCCGCAUUUUCCUUGGCACAGCUCUCCCCAAGCAAGAAGGAGAGGGAGGUACCCGGGGGCAGUGAGAAUGACGUGUGCUGGUGCAGAGAGGGGGUGGGGGGCUGCGGGCCCGGCUCUGUGGACCGGCUCCUAAUCCUCUUGUUUUCGGUACAGUCAGCAGAUGUGGCUUCUUUUAGCUGAAUAAUCCGUUAAAGGAAUAAUAAUUUUUGAAAGGGGGAUCGACCUCACCCAAAGAGGAUGGCGAGCGAGAUUAGGGCUUGAUCUACUGCCUUUCGUUGGAACGCCGCGGACUGAGACCUGUCCCUCGAGAAGAACAAAAAGACGAAGACCUGAGUGGACCCCCCACCCACCCCCGCCCCGGACAAAGCACUUUGGGCUCGGCGAGCAGGGACGCGCCGGAGCGCUGGCUCGGGAAUACGAGUGAUCUCCGGUCUGCCCGGCGUGCGGACCUCCGAGGGGACUCGAAUUUUAUUUAGCCUCUUGAUCUGGGCGUUGAAGAGGAGACUGUGGAACAGGAGGCUUAGCAGAGUCGAAGCCCGAAGAUGAUGCCGAAGGGCUGAGGGGAUAGUGUGAGUGGGGAUGGGCCAGGUGGAGGAGGGUUGCGAAAAGAAGGGGUCUGUUUGAACCCCUCUCUGGGUUCACAGGAUGAGUUUUGCUGGGGAUGAGAAUACUGGUGUCUGUUGAUAGGAGAUCUGAGAAAUUGAUGGAAAAUUGGUAUGUCCAUGUACACACUUAAGGAUGUAAACAGAGUGGAGAGGUAGAGGAGGGUAUAGAGGGAAAGGCUGAAAAUAAUGUCUUAUUAUCCCUUUGGUUUUGGGGACUCUCAUCCUCUGAUCCUCUCCUUCCGCUCUUUUUUUUUUUUUUUUUUUUGGACCCAGGGAUCCAGCGCAUUAGACGAGUGACCUUUUAUAUCUGUGCCCACCCUUCACCUGCGAGAGGACUGCAGCAACCGAGUUCUGGAAGGCUGAUUCCCCAAAUUCUGGCCCCGGACCCCGGCAGCUCGCCCCUGCGGCACGCCCGGCCGGGUUGCGCCUGGACUCAGCAAGCUAGGAAAAAGCCUGGAUCCGAAAGGAUGGGGGAGAACAAAGAGCCUUUGCAAGACGUCGCUGUUAUCUCAUUGUCUGUGUGACUGGGGGAGCUGCGGUAGAGGAUGCUGUGGUCCUUUCCUCCCGGCGCUCCCCCACCCCCACGCCCUUCCCCGCUGUCAGUGCGCACGCACGCGCGCCGCUUUUCGCUUGUUUUUCCCGUUUUCUCAUUCCGUCUUCUCCCCACCCGCCCCCCUGCUUUCUUCCACCUUUCCUUCCUUCCUCCUCUCCUUCCUCAGGAGAAAGGCCUCUCUCUCCGUGUUCACAGCGGACCUUGAUUUAAAUGUCCAUACAAUUAAGGCACGCGGUGAAUGCCAAGAAUGGGGCUGGCUGAGCACCCGUCGGUCCGCGAGGGCCCUGCGAGGAAGGAUCCACAGAGCCCAGUCGUCCGCCGCAGAGCUCAGCGCCGCGGCUUUGGGAAGGGGUGGGGGUGGAUGGGGCGGGGGGGCGGGGGUCGCGGGCUCGCGCCGGCUGGGCUGCCCCAACCGAAGCCUUUGGGGUGGGGAGGUGUGUAGCUUGUGACAGACAGGGGCUUAGAGAUGCAAACAAACUCAGAGAAACAGAAGCUGAUUCUGUGACGGAAACACAGAUCUGUGCAAGCACAGAUGGGGGCGGGAGGAUGCUGUGAGCGCACUGCGGAGUGCUUCCUGUGCAGAUUUUUCUCUGGGCUCCGGGUGCAUUGUAUGAGGGUCGACACCUUCCUUCACGGCUGCGUUUUUGCUCUGGUUUUAGCUUUUGGUUUACCCUUUAAACAGCCGGGCAUCCAGAAGACUGGCAGAUUGUGCCAGGGCUGGGGCUGCUCGCUCUUGGGGUGGGGGCAGGGGAGCCCGCAGGAAGGGAGUUGGACGGGAUUUGUCCCCCUUUGCUGUGGAGCUGCAGUUACAGGCUUAAGGAAGUCAUUGAGAUACAGGGGGGAAAGCAUCAAACUCCUGGACCCUUCUCAAGCUCUGUCAGAGCUGAAAGUCUGGCCAGGACUGGGGAACCACUCACUUCCUCUUUGCCGCUGUGAUUGCUCUUGUAGGCAGAGAUCCGGGAGAUGAUGAGGGGGAGAGGUGCAGGAACCUACCUGGACCCAAGGGUAGAGGAGGGGAGGGUUCAUGCCUUUUAAAAAAUCUGAACAGAAGGAAAACCAGAAUGUGUACAGGAGGGGGUCUGAGGAAAGAUUAUUUUUGAAGGAGGCAGUUCAGGGAAUGCAAAGGGUUAACCUGCCCUCCUCCUGAAGAACCUACCACCCAAAUCAGCCUUCCUCUACAUCACCAGAACUGGAGCAGCAGUCGGUCCUAUGGAUCCCCCUGCUCUCCACAGGCACAGCCCCAUCCCACCUCUAGCUCUGUAUUAACCGUCUCCACCCCCCCUUGAGCUCUAGUGGAUGGUGGAGACCUAAACUCAUUAAUUUCCAGGUGGAGAAAAUGGAGGCCGGGCAGGUCUCUGCGGAGAAAGGAGGCCAAGAACUGGAUCUUCCUACCCAGGAAGGCUAUGAUCAUCCCUUUCCCCCGCCCUGGGCAGGGGCCUGUCUCUACAAGGCCAAGGCCAUAAGGGAUGCUGAGGAUUUUAUUUGAUUCCUGACACUGUAAGCAAAACCUAAGAGUACCCACUGAAACUUGCUGAGGAGCUCUUUCAUCUCCAAAGCCUCAGCCUAGCCCACUCAGUCAAUUACCAUUCAUGGACCCCUAGCCUUAUUUCCUCCCGAAUAUUUUUUUACUACCUGCUAUGUGCCGAUCAUUGUGUAAUUGUUGUAUCUUAGAUUCUUCCUUUGCCCUCUUAAGGGAGUGUCUGGAGUCAGGUGAGAUUAAGUUCACUGCCUCCCAUCUAGACACUUCCAGAACCUUCUUUGGAUCUGACAGAAAUGCACCAAAACCUGCUCACCCCUGCAGAGAGAAGACUGCAGUCCACAUCAUGCAAAUUGCAAGCACAGUGCUGUCCUUCAGAUCCCAGAAGGCCAGCCUGGCUGGAGGACAGAAGAGAAAGCAGCUUCUCUGGCCCUUUAGCCAGGGUUGUCUUAAGAGGGGCCCGCAGCCACCGCCUUCAAAAUAGUCCUCCCUCUAAACAGUCCCUCUUUGGUUCUCUCCUUCCUCUGAGGGCUGCUCUGACAGUUCUUUGGGGCUGAUCUUAAGCCUCUGAUGACCAACCCUCGACCCCACAGUUGUUCACAUAAAUGAGCUUUAUCUCCCUAAUUGCUUCCCUGUAAUUCCAUCAGAUGUGGCCAUGCCCUCUGCUGAUGUGCCUGCUGCCAGCAUCUCCAGACGCCUUUCCCAAGUAAUGUCCCUCUAAGGUGGAAACCUAACACGCUUCUCCCUGAGAGUUUAAACCGCAGGCACCAUGGACCAGGCCUUCCGUCUUCCUGCUAUGGAUCAUUAAGAGGGAGGGGCAUGCUUUAUUUUAUUGCUUAUGUAAACUCUUAUUCCAGAAAGCUCUUGUGUGUGAGGAGUGUUCUGGGUUUGUUGGGGCUUUUCCGGUAUUCACCAGGUCUUAUUAUGAAAUGUGUUUGUAUGGAAGGGGCUUUAAUGGCUGAAAUGGCAGGGAUGAAUACACCACUCUGCCCCCUGGGUAAGGGGGCCCUUUUGUGUGCACCAGAUAGAGGUGUAGGGUGAAAGUCAGUCCUGGCAUCUUCCUUUCGGCUCUGUUAGAGGCUUGUUUAUGCCUAGCGAUACUUAAUGAUUUCUGCUCCUUCAAAGCAUUUUUUUUUUUUUAAGUCUGUAUUUGUUACAAUACUGCUUUUGUUUUGUUUGGGUUUUUUGGCCGGGAGGCACAUGGGAUCUUGGCUUCCCACUGGAGAUGGAACCUACACCCCCUGUGUUGGAAGGUGAAGUCUUCUUUUAACUCUCGACAUAUCUUCACCUCUACCCAUUUGAGCGCCUCUAAUGACAACCUAUGGCUUAAAUGAAGGAAAAACUAUUAAAAAAAAAAUAUAUGGGACAUGCUUGAGGCAGUUUGCCGAGUGAAUGUGCUCUGAAGACCCAUGCCAUCGUUCACACAUACCGCCAUUAUUAUGGUCCUCACCGUGAUGGCCGUUCAUAGGUUUCUCAAGGAGUCAGUAUCAGAUACUUUAAGAUGGAUGUAGAAAUGUAUCAAAGGAAAAAUUGGUAACAUUCUUCUUUCCCCUGCCAGAGACUGCCCAGGCCCAGAACUCUAAGCAGAACAGCAACUGAACUUUUAACAAAGGCAAAGGUAAAUUCCAACCAUCACCACAGCAUUCUUAUUGCCCACAGGGUCGGGAGAGGGGACAGUUUUUCUGGGCUCUUGAGGAGCCUUAGCCAGAUAAAUAAAUAUCGGGGAGUGGGGGUAAUUUCUCAGCAGGCAUAUGCUCAUAUACACAUAUAUGGAGAUUUUUCUCACACAGUCAUAUCUAUUGCUGGUAUUUAUAGGAAAGUAUUGAAUCACACACACGCAAUCCAUCCACCUAUCCUAUCUCUGGAGAGAAAUAAUUUUCUCUUUCCUUCUACUGAACUUACAUAAUAUCCCCACCCCUGUUCCAACCUUAGAAGAGAGUCCUCCGGGGGCAGCUGUAAAGGCUUCUUCCUAGGACAGAUGGAACCACCCUUCCUCAGCUACUCUGUGGGUGGGUUUAGUGAGUCAAUAGGGGCUGAGGGAUGUGCUGGUGGCUUGUGUCUGUGGCUUGCCUGGCUGAUUCACGGUGCUGAGUCUAUCGAUAACAAUUAUGACAAUUUUAAUACCUAAUAAAGAUGUUUUCUUCCCAGUCCAAUCUACAAUUCUUUUAUUUGGGUGUCUUUGCCAAGUCUUAAUUAAUUUGACUUCAGUUUAAAUAUAUAUAAAAAAUACAUAGUUGCAUCUCCCAUACAGGCAUAGAACAAGAAAAAGACUUCAAACGGGAUGCAUUCCUGUCUAUGUAUGCUGCUAUGAGCCACUGUAUGCGGGUCUGCUGGAGGCCUGCAGAGAACUGCGCCAAAUUUAGAUGGCCUCAAAAAAAAUUUUUUUAAAGCAGACUUUAUUGAGAACAAGGAAUGUUCCAGGGGUCAGAAAUGAAGUGUCAGCAACUCUCAAUGGAUUCACCUUUUCAUUUUCUAAUCCUUCUGUUUUUGUUUUAAAAUGGAAAUGUUACCCCAGAAAUGAGGACCUGAGUCAGGGCUGCAUAAACGCCAAAAAUUAAACCUUGUGGAUCACUAGGGACUUUCUCCAAAUUAAAGGGGGGAGAGAGGUUUAUUUUAAACUAAAAUCCAAUCUAUUUAUUUUUUUAAUUUAUU
ensembl:lncRNA